AUUGAACGCUGGCGGCAGGCCUAACACACGCAAGUCGAGCGGAUGAAGGGAGCUUGCUCCCGGAUUCAGCGGCGGACGGGUGAGUAAUGCCUAGGAAUCUGCCUGGUAGUGGGGGAUAACGUCCGGAAACGGGCGCUAAUACCGCAUACGUCCUGAGGGAGAAAGUGGGGGAUCUUCGGACCUCACGCUAUCAGAUGAGCCUAGGUCGGAUUAGCUAGUUGGUGGGGUAAAGGCCUACCAAGGCGACGAUCCGUAACUGGUCUGAGAGGAUGAUCAGUCACACUGGAACUGAGACACGGUCCAGACUCCUACGGGAGGCAGCAGUGGGGAAUAUUGGACAAUGGGCGAAAGCCUGAUCCAGCCAUGCCGCGUGUGUGAAGAAGGUCUUCGGAUUGUAAAGCACUUUAAGUUGGGAGGAAGGGCAGUAAGUUAAUACCUUGCUGUUUUGACGUUACCAACAGAAUAAGCACCGGCUAACUUCGUG
rnacentral:rRNA from 1 species